rnacentral:tRNA from 1 species
GCCGGCGUGGCGGAAUUGGCAGACGCGCGGGAUUCAAAAUCCCGUGGUAGUGAUAUCGUAUGGGUUCGACCCCCAUCGCCGGCACCA